CAACGACACGCGUGGAGGAUGAAGUCCCUUGGGAUGUAAACUUCUUUCGAUCGGGACGAUUAUGACGGUACCGGAAGAAGAAGCCCCGGCUAACUUCGUGC
rnacentral:rRNA from 1 species